UUAGUGGCGGACGGGUGAGUAACACGUGGGAACGUGCCUUUAGGUUCGGAAUAGCUCCUGGAAACGGGUGGUAAUGCCGAAUGUGCCCUUCGGGGGAAAGAUUUAUCGCCUUUAGAGCGGCCCGCGUCUUAUUAGCUUGUUGGUGAGGUAAUGGCUCACCAAGGCUACGAUCAGUAGCUGGUCUGAGAGGAUGACCAGCCACAUUGGGACUGAGACACGGCCCAAACUCCUACGGGAGGCAGCAGUGGGGAAUCUUGCGCAAUGGGCGAAAGCCUGACGCAGCCAUGCCGCGUGGAUGAUGAAGGUCUUAGGAUUGUAAAAUCCCUUCACCGGUGAAGAUAAUGACUGUAGCCGGAGAAGAAGCACCGGCUAACUACGUGCCAGCAGCCGCGGUAAUACGUAGGGUGCAAGCGUUAAUCGGAAUUACUGGGCGUAAAGCGUGCGCAGGCGGUUAUACAAGACAGGCGUGAAAUCCCCGGGCUUAGCCUGGGA
rnacentral:rRNA from 1 species